rnacentral:rRNA from 1 species
CCCUUAGACGUUCUGGGCCGCACGCGCGCUACACUGGCCGGUGCAACAAGCAUCCGUCCUUGGCCGACAGGCCCGGGCAAUCUUUGAACGCCGGUCGUGAUGGGGAUAGACUUUUGCAAUUUUUGGUCUUCAACGAGGAAUUCCUAGUAAACGCAAGUCAUCAACUUGCAUUGAUUACGUCCCUGCCCUCUGUACACACCGCCCGUCGCACCUACCGAUUGAAUGGUCCGGUGAAGCCUCCGGAUUGGCGCGCACCUCGGUGCCGCCGAGAAGUUGGCUAAACCUUACCAUUUAGAGGAAGGUGAAGUCGUAACA